rnacentral:rRNA from 1 species
UACGGAAGGCAGCAGUGGGGAAUAUUGCACAAUGGGCGAAAGCCUGAUGCAGCUAUGCCGCGUGUAUGAAGAAGGCCUUAGGGGUUGUAAAGUACUUUCAUCGGGGAGGAAAAACAAAACUAAUAAUUUUAUUUCUUGACGUUACCCGAAAAAGAAGCACCGGCUAACUCCGUGCCAGCAGCCGCGGUAAUACGGAGGGUGCUAGCGUUAAUCAGAAUUACUGGGCGUAAAGAGCACGUAGGUGGUUUUUUUAAGUUCAGAUGUGAAAUCCCUGGGCUUAACCUAGGAACUGCAUUUUGAAACUGAAAUACUAGAGUAUCGUAGAGGGAGGUAGAAUUCUAGGUGUAGCGGUGAAAUGCGUAGAUAUCUGGAGGAAUACCUGUGGCGAAAGCGGCCUCCUAAACGAAUACUGACACUGAGGUGCGAAAGCGUGGGGAGCAAACAGGGAUUAGAUACC